CAGUCGCCGCGGUAAUACGAAGGGGGCUAGCGUUGUUCGGAAUUACUGGGCGUAAAGCGCACGUAGGCGGACUUUUAAGUCUGCUGUGAAAUCCCCGGGCUCAACCUGGGAACUGCAUUUGUGACUGGCAAGCUAGAGUGUGGCAGAGGGAGGUGGAAUUCCGCGUGUAGCAGUGAAAUGCGUAGAUAUGCGGAGGAACACCGAUGGCGAAGGCAGCCCCCUGGGCCAACACUGACGCUCAUGCACGAAAGCGUGGGGAGCAAACAGGAUUAGAUACCCCUGUAGUCCCUGUCUCUUAUAC
rnacentral:rRNA from 1 species